GCGCCUCCUCGAGUGCCGUGCCUGCGGGGGCGGUCCCGGAGAGCAUGAGGUAGCGCUGGCUGAAGUCCACGCCGCCGGUCAGGAGGCCAACCACCGGCAUGAUGAUGUCGUUGACGAGCGAAUCGACGAUCUUGCCGAACGCAGCGCCGAUGAUGACACCGACGGCCAAAUCAAGAGCAUUGCCCUUGUUUACGAAUUCCUUGAACUCGGAGAGCAUGUAAGCCUCCUGGGGAUGACGCCAUCCUACCGCCCUUUGUCACGGAAUUGUCGGGCCACGGGCGUCCGGGGAUGUCGCUUGGUAACGUCUCGGGAUCUAUGCGCUCAUUCGUCCUCGCCCUUGUCGCAAUUCUCGCGCUGGCCAGCCCCGCAGCUGCGGCCGGCAUU
rnacentral:misc_RNA from 1 species